rnacentral:rRNA from 1 species
AGCGAACGCUGGCGGCAUGCUUAACACAUGCAAGUCGCACGGGGCGCUUUCGGGCAUCCAGUGGCGGACGGGUGAGUAUCGCGUAGGGAUUUGUCGUUGGGUGGGGACGAACCUUGGGUAAACGUGGGGCGUAAUACCGCAUGACGCCUGUGGGCCAAAGCUCGUGAGGGCGCCUGACGAGGAGCCUGCGUCCGAUUAGGUAGUUGGUUGGUGAUGGCUGACCAAGCCUGCGAUCGGUAGCUGGUCUGAGAGGAUGGCCAGCCACACUGGGACUGAGACACGG